UGGGGAAUUUUGCACAAUGGGGGAAACCCUGAUGCAGCGACGCCGCGUGAUUUAGAAGGCCUUCGGGUUGUAAAAAUCUUUUUUACGGGAUGAAAAUGACAGUACCGUAAGAAUAAGGUCCGGCUAAAUACGUGCCAGCAGCCGCGGUAAUACGUAUGGACCGAGCGUUGUCCGGAAUCAUUGGGCGUAAAGGGUACGUAGGCGGCCUAGUAAGUUAGAAGUGAAAUAAUAUAGCUCAACUAUAUAAAGCUUUUAAAACUGCUAGGCUUGAGAGAAGGAAGGGAAAGUGGAAUUCCUAGUGUAGCGGUGAAAUGCGCAGAUAUUAGGAAGAAGACCGGUGGCGAAGGCGACUUUCUGGUCAUCAUCUGACGCUGAGGUACGAAAGCGUGGGUAGCAAACAGG
rnacentral:rRNA from 1 species